GGUGGAGAGGGUGAAAGCAGGGAGAAUAAUCGAUAUACGAAUGAGAAUUGGAGAAAUCGAUGGAAAUUAUGUGUACUAAAGGAUUUCCAAAUUAUAUAAAUCGUGUGUAGACUGCACUCGUUAUUUUUAUUGGUCCGAUCUGGACGAAAAAAAUAUGCGUGUAGAGGGCGCAACGAGAGCUCACUAAUGACCCCAGUCGCGUUCUUCUAGGUGCUAUAGUUUCAGUAACCCGCUGUAACGUCCGUAAGAGUGUCGUAACCUCACUCGACCAUCCGUAACGUCCAUAAGGGUGCCGUAACGACCGUAACACGCCGUAACGUCUGUAAGGAUGCAGUAAUGACCGUAACCCGCUGUAACGUCCGUAAGAGUGCCGUAACCUUAUUCGAACAUCCGUAACGUCUGUCGAACGUCCGUCGAACGUCCGUAACGUCCGUAACAUCGCCGUAACGACCGUAACAAGCCGUAAGGUCCAUAAGGGUGCCGUAACAACCGUAACAAGCCAUAAGGUCCAUAAGGGUGCAGUAACGACCGUAACACGCCGUAACGUCCGUAAGAGUGCCAUAACCUCACUCGACAUCCGUAACGUCUGUCGAACGAUUGGUCCGAUCUGGACGAAAAAUAUGCGCGUAGAGGGCGCAACGAGAGCUCACCAAUGACCCCGGACCCGUUCUUCUUGGUGCUAUAGUUUCAGUAACCCGCUAUAGGAAUGCAUUUCCUUGGAAUUUCAAUUUGUGGUAAUUGCAACGGUAUAAUUUUCCUCUGUGUUAUACGAUCAAUAUAAAUCGGCUUGUGCAGUAUUAAACUUAGCUAAAUUUUAUGGAUGAUAACUAUCGUUAUUAUAAAGUUGAAUCGUAUGAAUCAUGCGAAUUUUCCAUAAAGAUUUUCAAAAUUAACAACGAGUAGAAAUGUUCGAAACUUCAUUUAGUCAAAUUUUGAUACAAUUGAUAAUAAUUCUUCUUGUACGAUCAAUCACAAUUGAAUUAUCUGUUUUCGCUAUUUUUGUGAAAUAUUGUUCUUCAAGAUAUAUCUAAAUGUUUUAUCAUUAAGUUGUAGACAUAGUUACAAAUUUUCCAAUCGAUGAAAAUACACGAUAUUAUUUAUUUAAAUAUAAAGAAAGGAAGAUACUUUACCGAUAUUACUUAUUAGCCAAUACGGUAUAGAUAAGGGAUAUUUUAACAUAAUUAAUGACAAUAUUUUCUAAUGAUUUUAUAAUACUUAAAACUAAAAAAAGAUACAUAUUUAUUUAAAUAUAAAUAUUCUAUAUUACCUAUUCAUUAACAUAAAUAUAUGUAUACAUAUUAGUACAUAAUAUACAUGUACAAACAAUGCCAAGAUUACCUUAAAAAUAUUCGUUAUAAAAUCAAUCAUUAUUAAAAUAAUUAAUUAACUAAUUAAAUUAAAAAAAUUUAAAUAUAUAUAUAUAAUAUUAUUACCCUGAAAGAAAAAGAGAAUGUUUAUAGCAUUUACUAGCGGACGUAUACAAAGCAAAUCUUAUUACAAUGUUUAUAUGUUUCUAUAUAAGCUGAAGUAUCUAAAUACACCUUAUGUUAUUUACUUUUUGUCGAAUAUCGUAUGAGAUCAGUCUUUCCGCAACCACCUAGUUGGAAACUUCAAAGAUCCUAUAUAAACAUACGUUUCUAAACAGAUAGAUAUGUAUAUAUGUACAUAUGUACAUAACUAGACACAAUAUACACACCCACACACUCAUACACAAAGUAUAUAGUAGUCUUUCUCUUGGGUAUUGCUUGAGAUUUUAUUAUAUUGUAUAGACAGUAACGAGCAACCUUUGUUCUGCAAUGAGCCAAAAUUAAAUAUCUGAUAUUGUUAUUGAUAGAAUUCAUUAUGAACUAAAAAUGCUUAUAUUGAUUAAAAAAGGAAUUAAUGCUUGAUAGAAAAAGAAAAAAUUACACAUUAUUGAAGGGUAUUUGUUAUUUUCGGCAUCAAUUUACAAUGAAAUGUUUUCUAUAAUUCCAUUGAUUUUUUAUUAGCAAUACUUUUAAUGUGUACGCAUAAAUGUAUGUAUAUAUAUUUUUGUAAUGGAACGAAAUCUAUUAGUUGUUUAUUUUUAAUUAGAUAUAUGAUUCUACUUCUUGUUAAUAAACUUUACAUUAUUAUAUUGGAAGAUACAAUGGAAGAUACUGAAUUAAACUAUAAUACAAUCUUCUAUUCGUUUGUCGUUAACGUUAAGAAUUUGAUAAAAGAUUUCAAUACUUCGGUUAAUAGUUAAAAUGCCUUUCAACUGGCCGUAGAUAACAAAGCUCUUCACAAAUGUAUCAACGUAAGAUGUAAUACCAGUGAUUAAGAAAUUCACUAAUUAGAGUCGACUAUUGUCAUUUUUCGAUGCAAAAUGUAAGCUGUAAUUGCAUUGAUACGUACAUGAAUACGUAUAUGAUAAUGUUUUUUUAUAAACCCUGAGUUACUCAUUUCUGAUACAGAUUCAGAUAUAUACAAAUAUAUAUAUAUAUAUAUAUAUAUAUAUAUAUAUUACAUAUUAUAUAUUAUAUAUAUAUAUAAAUAUAUAUACAGAGAGAGAGAGAGAGAAAGAAAAAGGGUAAAGGAAUCGAGAAUUUGAAUAAAACAAAGAACGAUAUCGGGAUUAAAUUGAAAAGAAACUUUGUUACCUCUUAACAAAAAGGCACUCGAUAAGGAAGCAUUAGCCGUCCAAAGUACAAUUAUAUCAAAAACCCAUUCAAAUUAAAGAAGAUUACAUAUGUAUCCGAUUAUGAUACCUUAUAUUUCUUAUUAUUCAUAUAAAAGAAAAGAAAAAGAAAAAAACACAGUUAAGAAGAAUAAGAAAGAAAUCUCCUCUUUAUUUCCUAAUAUCUUCAAUUAUGAUUGAUUUCUAAAUACAAUAAGGAUAAUAAUAACAAUAAUAAUAACAACAAUAAUAUGAAAAAGAAGAAGAAGAACAAAGUAUCUUGGUAACUUCAAUUUUGCUUACUUGUUCUUAUAUGGUAUAUGUAUCUAGUACAAUGUAAAUUUUAAUGUGGGAUUUCAAUUAAACGUGUCAUUUAAUACGUAUUAUGAUUAAUAUGCAUUAUUCAUACACAUAUGAAUGUAUGUAUAUUUAAAUGAAUAUCGAAUUUAUACCUCGUUGACAAAUUAAAUUUACAAUAUUGAAAUAAGGGUGUCACGAUCAGGUACACGCAUCACGUUCGAUCGUUGACGAUCUUUCUAUAUAUAAAAUAUAUCGAUACCAAACGAUAUUACAUUCGUUAAAAUGCAUAUACGUAUUACGUACGUACGCGUACACGUGCAUACAGAAAAAUUAAGAAAAAAAUAGCAAAAUAGAGCAAGGAAGAGACAGAGAGAGAGAGAUAGAUGAAAGUUCAUUGUUUUCGAGGAAGGACGUCUGUCCUAACGAACGAAGUUUACGAUGAGGUCUCGUAUUUUUCUAUUCCUGUUGCUUUCUUUUCUUUUUUUGAUUUUGAUUAAUUAACUAAUUAAAUUAUAAAAAUUUAAAUAUAUAUAUAUAUAUAUAUAAUAUUAUUACCCUGAAAGAAAAAGAGAAUGUUUAUAGCAUUUACUAGCGGGCGUAUACAAAGCAAAUCUUAUUACAAUGUUUAUAUGUUUCUUUAUAAGCUGAUGUAUCUAAAUACACCUUAUCUUAUUUACUUUUGGUCGAAUAUCGUAUGAUAUCAGUCUUUCCGCAACCACCGAGGUGGAAUGUUGGAAGAUCCCAUAUAAACAUACGUUUGUAAAUAGAUACAUAUGUAUAUAUGUACAUAUGUACACAACUAGAUACAUAAUAUACACAUCCACACACACAUACACAAAGUAUAUAGUAGUCUUUCUCUUGGGUAUUGCUUGAGAUUUUAUUAUAUUGUAUAGACAGUAACGAGCAACCUUUGUUCUGCAAUGAGCCAAAAUUAAAUAUCUGAUAUUGUUAUUGAUAGAAUUCAUUAUGAACUAAAAAUGCUUAUAUUGAUUAAAAAAGGAAUUAAUGCUUGAUAGAAAAAGAAAAAAUUUUACAUUAUUGAAGGGUAUUUGUUAUUUUCGGCAUCAAUUUACAAUGAAAUGUUUUCUAUAAUUCCAUUGAUUUUCUAUUAGCAAUACUUUUAAUGUGUACGCAUAAGUGUAUGUAUAUAUAUUUUUGUAAUGGAACGAAAUCUAUUAGUUGUUUAUUUUUAAUUAGAUAUAUGAUUCUACUUCUCGUUAAUAAACUUUACAUUAUUAUAUUGGAAGAUACGUUGGAAGAUAUUGAAAUAAACUCUAAUACAAUCUUUUAUUCGUUUGUCGUUAACGUUAAGACUUUUGAUAAAAGAUUUCAGUACUUCGGUUAAUAGUUAAAAUGCGUUUCAACUGGCCGUAGUUAACAAAGCUCUUCACUAAUGUAUCAACGUAAGAUGUAAUAUCAGUGAUUAAGAAAUUCACUAAUUAGAGUCGACUAUUGUCAUUUUUCGAUGCAAAAUGUAAGUUGUAAUUGCAUUGAUACGUACAUGAAUACGUAUAUGAUAAUGUUUUUUUAUAAACCCUGAGUUACUCAUUUCUGAUACAGAUUCAGAUAUAUACAGAUAUAUAUAUGUAUUAUAUAUUAUAUAUAAUAUGUAUAUAUAUAUAUACAGAGAGAGAGAGAGAGAGAGAGAGAGAGAGAGAGGGAGAGAGAGAGAGAGAGAGAAAGAAAGGGUAAACGAAUCGAGAAUUUGAAUGAAACAAAGAACGAUAUCGAGAUUAAAUUGAAAAGAAACUUUGUUAGCUCUUGACAAAAAGGCAUUCGAUAAGGAAGCAUUAGCCGUCCAAAGUACAAUUAUAUCAAAGACCUAUUCAAAUGAAAGACGAUUACAUAGGUAUCCUAUUAUGAUACCUUUUACUUCUUAUUAUUCAUAUAAAAGAAAAGAAGAAGAAAAAAAACAGUUAAGAAGAUUAAGAAAGAAAUUUCAUGUUUAUUUCCCAAUAUCUUCAAUUAUGAUUGAUUUAUAAAGACAAUAAGAAUAAUAAUAACAAUAAUAAUAACAACAAUAAUAUGAAGAAGAAGAAGAAGAACAAAGUAUCUUGGUAUAUUCAAUUUUGCUUUCUUGUUCUUAUGUGGUAUAUGUAGCUAGUACAAUGUAAAUUUUAAUGUGGGAUUUUAUUUAAACGUGUCAUUUAAUGCGUAUUAUGAUUAAUAUGCAUUAUUCAUACACAUAUCAAUGUAUGUGUAUUUAAAUGAAUAUAGAAUUUAUACCUCGUUGACAAAUUAAAUUUACAAUAUUGAAAUAAGGGUGUCACGAUCAGGUACACGCAUCACGUUCGAUCGUCGACGAUCUUUCAAUAUAUAAAAUAUAUCGAUACCAAACGAUAUUACAUUUGUUAAAAGGCACAUACGUAUUACGUACAUACGCGUACACGUGCAUACAGAAAAAUUGAGAAAAAAAUAGCAAAAUAGAGCGAGGAAGAGAGAGAGAGAGAGAUGAAAGUUCAUUGUUUACGAGGAAGGACGUUUGUCCUAACAAACAGAGUUUUCGAUGAGGUCUCGUAUUUUUCUAUUCCUGUUGCUUUCUUUUAUUUUUUGAUUUUGAUUAUUUAACUAAUUAAAUUAUAAAAAUUUUAAUAUAUAUAUAUAUAUAUAUAUAUAUAUAUAUAUAUAUAUAAUAUUAUUACCCUGAAAGAAAAAGAGAAUGUUUAUAGCAUUUACUAGCGAGCGUAUACAAAGCAAAUCUUAUUACAAUGUUUAUAUGUUUCUUUAUAAUCUGAUGUAUCUAAAUACACCUUAUCUUAUUUACUUUUGGUCGAAUAUCGUAUGAUAUCAGUCUUUCCCCAACCACCGAGGUGGAAUGUUGGAAGAUCCCAUAUAAACAUACGUUUGUAAAUAGAUACAUAUGUAUAUAUGUACAUAUGUACACAACUAGAUACAUAAUAUACACACUCACACACACAUACACAAAGUAUAUAGUAGUCUUUCUCUUGGAUAUUACUUGAGAUUUUAUUAUAUUGUAUAGACAGUAACGAGCAACCUUUGUGCUGCAAGGAGCCAAAAUUACAUGUCUGAUAUUGUUAUUGAUACAAUUCAUUAUGAACUAAAAAUGUUUAAAUUGAUUAGAAAAGAAAUUAAAACUUGAUAGAAAAAGAAAAAAUUUUACAUUAUUGAAGGGUAUUUGUUAUUUUCGGCAUCAAUUUACAAUGAAAUGUUUUCUAUAAUUCCAUUGAUUUUCUAUUAGCAAUACUUUUAAUGUGUACGCAUAAGUGUAUGUAUAUAUAUUUUUGUAAUGGAACGAAAUCUAUUAGUUGUUUAUUUUUAAUUAGAUAUAUGAUUCUACUUCUGGUUAAUAAACUUUACAUUAUUAUAUUGGAAGAUACAAUGGAAGAUAUCGAAUUAAACUCUAAUACAAUGUUUUAUUCGUUUGUCGUUAACGUUAAGACUUUUGAUAAAAGAUUUCAGUACUUCGGUUAAUAGUUAAAAUGCCUUUCAACUGGCCGUAGAUAACAAAGCUCUUCACUAAUGUAUCAACGUAAGAUGUAAUAUCAGUGAUUAAGAAAUUCACUAAUUAGAGUCGACUAUUGUCAUUUUUCGAUGCAAAAUGUAAGUUGUAAUUGCAUUGAUACGUACAUGAAUAAGUAUAUGAUAAUGUUUUUUUAUAAACCCUGAGUUACUCAUUUCUGAUACAGAUUCAGAUAUAUACAGAUAUAUAUAUGUAUUAUAUAUUAUAUAUAAUAUGUAUAUAUAUAUAUACAGAGAGAGAGAGAGAGAGAGAGAGAGGGAGAGAGAGAGAGAGAGAGAAAGAAAGGGUAAACGAAUCGAGAAUUUGAAUGAAACAAAGAACGAUAUCGAGAUUAAAUUGAAAAGAAACUUUGUUAGCUCUUGACAAAAAGGCAUUCGAUAAGGAAGCAUUAGCCGUCCAAAGUACAAUUAUAUCAAAGACCUAUUCAAAUGAAAGACGAUUACAUAGGUAUCCUAUUAUGAUACCUUAUACUUCUUAUUAUUCAUAUAAAAGAAAAGAAGAAGAAAAAAAACAGUUAAGAAGAUUAAGAAAGAAAUUUCAUGUUUAUUUCCCAAUAUCUUCAAUUAUGAUUGAUUUAUAAAGACAAUAAGAAUAAUAAUAACAAUAAUAAUAACAACAAUAAUAUGAAGAAGAAGAAGAAGAACAAAGUAUCUUGGUAUAUUCAAUUUUGCUUUCUUGUUCUUAUGUGGUAUAUGUAGCUAGUACAAUGUAAAUUUUAAUGUGGGAUUUUAUUUAAACAUGUCAUUUAAUGCGUAUUAUGAUUAAUAUGCAUUAUUCAUACACAUAUCAAUGUAUGUGUAUUUAAAUGAAUAUAGAAUUUAUACUUCGUUGACAAAUUAAAUUUACAAUAUUGAAAUAAGGGUGUCACGAUCAGGUACACGCAUCACGUUCGAUCGUCGACGAUCUUUCAAUAUAUAAAAUAUAUCGAUACCAAACGAUAUUACAUUUGUUAAAAGGCAUAUACGUAUUACGUACAUACGCGUACACGUGCAUACAGAAAAAUUGAGAAAAAAAUAGCAAAAUAGAGCGAGGAAGAGAGAGAGAGAGAGAUAUGAAAGUUCAUUGUUUACGAGGAAGGACAUCUGUCCUAACAAACGGAGUUUUCGAUGAGGUCUCGUAUUUUUCUAUUCCUGUUGCUUUCUUUUAUUUUUUGAUUUUGAUUAUUUAACUAAUUAAAUUAUAAAAAUUUUAAUAUAUAUAUAUAUAUAUAUAUAUAUAUAUAUAUAUAUAAUAUUAUUACCCUGAAAGAAAAAGAGAAUGUUUAUAGCAUUUACUAGCGGGCGUAUACAAAGCAAAUCUUAUUACAAUGUUUAUAUGUUUCUUUAUAAGCUGAUGUAUCUAAAUACACCUUAUCUUAUUUACUUUUGGUCGAAUAUCGUAUGAUAUCAGUCUUUCCGCAACCACCGAGGUGGAAUGUUGGAAGAUCCCAUAUAAACAUACGUUUGUAAAUAGAUACAUAUGUAUAUAUGUACAUAUGUACACAACUAGAUACAUAAUAUACACACCCACACACACAUACACAAAGUAUAUAGUAGUCUUUCUCUUGGAUAUUACUUGAGAUUUUAUUAUAUUGUAUAGACAGUAACGAGCAACCUUUGUGCUGCAAGGAGCCAAAAUUACAUGUCUGAUAUUGUUAUUGAUACAAUUCAUUAUGAACUAAAAAUGUUUAAAUUGAUUAGAAAAGAAAUUAAAACUUGAUAGAAAAAGAAAAAAUUUUACAUUAUUGAAGGGUAUUUGUUAUUUUCGGCAUCAAUUUACAAUGAAAUGUUUUCUAUAAUUCCAUUGAUUUUCUAUUAGCAAUACUUUUAAUGUGUACGCAUAAGUGUAUGUAUAUAUAUUUUUGUAAUGGAACGAAAUCUAUUAGUUGUUUAUUUUUAAUUAGAUAUAUGAUUCUACUUCUGGUUAAUAAACUUUACAUUAUUAUAUUGGAAGAUACAAUGGAAGAUAUCGAAUUAAACUCUAAUACAAUGUUUUAUUCGUUUGUCGUUAACGUUAAGACUUUUGAUAAAAGAUUUCAGUACUUCGGUUAAUAGUUAAAAUGCCUUUCAACUGGCCGUAGAUAACAAAGCUCUUCACUAAUGUAUCAACGUAAGAUGUAAUAUCAGUGAUUAAGAAAUUCACUAAUUAGAGUCGACUAUUGUCAUUUUUCGAUGCAAAAUGUAAGUUGUAAUUGCAUUGAUACGUACAUGAAUACGUAUAUGAUAAUGUUUUUUUAUAAACCCUGAGUUACUCAUUUCUGAUACAGAUUCAGAUAUAUACAGAUAUAUAUAUGUAUUAUAUAUUAUAUAUAAUAUGUAUAUAUAUAUACAGAGAGAGAGAGAGAGAGAGAGAGGGAGAGAGAGAGAGAGAGAGAAAGAAAGGGUAAACGAAUCGAGAAUUUGAAUGAAACAAAGAACGAUAUCGAGAUUAAAUUGAAAAGAAACUUUGUUAGCUCUUGACAAAAAGGCAUUCGAUAAGGAAGCAUUAGCCGUCCAAAGUACAAUUAUAUCAAAGACCUAUUCAAAUGAAAGACGAUUACAUAGGUAUCCUAUUAUGAUACCUUAUACUUCUUAUUAUUCAUAUAAAAGAGAAGAAGAAGAAAAAAAACAGUUAAGAAGAUUAAGAAAGAAAUUUCAUGUUUAUUUCCCAAUAUCUUCAAUUAUGAUUGAUUUAUAAAGACAAUAAGAAUAAUAAUAACAAUAAUAAUAACAACAAUAAUAUGAAAAAGAAGAAGAAGAACAAAGUAUCUUGGUAUAUUCAAUUUUGCUUUCUUGUUCUUAUGUGGUAUAUGUAGCUAGUACAAUGUAAAUUUUAAUGUGGGAUUUCAAUUAAACGUCAUUUAAUGCGUAUUAUGAUUAAUAUGCAUUAUUCAUACACAUGAAUGUAUAUAUAUUUAAAUGAAUAUCGAAUUUAUACCUCGUUGACAAAUUAAAUUUACAAUAUUGAAAUAAGGGUGUCACGAUCAGGUACACGUAUCACGUUCGAUCGUCGACGAUCUUUCUAUAUAUAAAAUAUAUCGAUACCAAACGAUAUUACAUUUGUUAAAAUGCAUAUACGUAUUACGUACGUACGCGUACACGUGCAUACAGAAAAAUUAAGAAAAAAAUAGCAAAAUAGAGCGAGGAAGAGACAGAGAGAGAGAGAUAGAUGAAAGUUCAUUGUUUUCGAGGAAGGACGUCUGUCCUAACGAACGAAGUUUACGAUGAGGUCUCGUAUUUUUCUAUUCCUGUUGCUUUCUUUUAUUUUUUGAUUUUGAUUAUUUAACUAAUUAAAUUAUAAAAAUUUUAAUAUAUAUAUAUAUAUAUAUAUAUAUAUAUAUAUAUAUAUAAUAUUAUUACCCUGAAAGAAAAAGAGAAUGUUUAUAGCAUUUACUAGCGGGCGUAUACAAAGCAAAUCUUAUUACAAUGUUUAUAUGUUUCUUUAUAAGCUGAUGUAUCUAAAUACACCUUAUCUUAUUUACUUUUGGUCGAAUAUCGUAUGAUAUCAGUCUUUCCGCAACCACCGAGGUGGAAUGUUGGAAGAUCCCAUAUAAACAUACGUUUGUAAAUAGAUACAUAUGUAUAUAUGUACAUAUGUACACAACUAGAUACAUAAUAUACACACCCACACACACAUACACAAAGUAUAUAGUAGUCUUUCUCUUGGAUAUUACUUGAGAUUUUAUUAUAUUGUAUAGACAGUAACGAGCAACCUUUGUGCUGCAAGGAGCCAAAAUUACAUGUCUGAUAUUGUUAUUGAUACAAUUCAUUAUGAACUAAAAAUGUUUAAAUUGAUUAGAAAAGAAAUUAAAACUUGAUAGAAAAAGAAAAAAUUUUACAUUAUUGAAGGGUAUUUGUUAUUUUCGGCAUCAAUUUACAAUGAAAUGUUUUCUAUAAUUCCAUUGAUUUUCUAUUAGCAAUACUUUUAAUGUGUACGCAUAAGUGUAUGUAUAUAUAUUUUUGUAAUGGAACGAAAUCUAUUAGUUGUUUAUUUUUAAUUAGAUAUAUGAUUCUACUUCUGGUUAAUAAACUUUACAUUAUUAUAUUGGAAGAUACAAUGGAAGAUAUCGAAUUAAACUCUAAUACAAUGUUUUAUUCGUUUGUCGUUAACGUUAAGACUUUUGAUAAAAGAUUUCAGUACUUCGGUUAAUAGUUAAAAUGCCUUUCAACUGGCCGUAGAUAACAAAGCUCUUCACUAAUGUAUCAACGUAAGAUGUAAUAUCAGUGAUUAAGAAAUUCACUAAUUAGAGUCGACUAUUGUCAUUUUUCGAUGCAAAAUGUAAGUUGUAAUUGCAUUGAUACGUACAUGAAUACGUAUAUGAUAAUGUUUUUUUAUAAACCCUGAGUUACUCAUUUCUGAUACAGAUUCAGAUA